UUGGGGGUUUUUGAGGUUGAAGGGAUUGGUAUUGGGAGUGAGAUGUUUCUGAAUUUGGAGGGGUUUGGAUGCGGGCCGCCAUUGAUGGAGAUGCAAGAAUUUGAGGUGUUUUUCUUGAUUUGUCUCUAAUGAACUUAAUUCUAAGGUAUCUUAGUUAUAUUUAAAGAGUAAUUGUUUGUUUCUUUGUUUUUUGUUUUUUUGAAGAAAUACUCGUGAAAAGUAAAAGUUUAACUAGCAGAUCUGAGAGUAGAGGAAAGC
rnacentral:lncRNA from 1 species